GACGAACGCUGGCGGCGUGCUUAACACAUGCAAGUCGAACGAAGAGCGAUGGAAGCUUGCUUCUAUCAAUCUUAGUGGCGAACGGGUGAGUAACGCGUAAUCAACCUGCCCUUCAGAGGGGGACAACAGUUGGAAACGACUGCUAAUACCGCAUACGAUCUAAUCUCGGCAUCGAGGAUAGAUGAAAGGUGGCCUCUACAUGUAAGCUAUCACUGAAGGAGGGGAUUGCGUCUGAUUAGCUAGUUGGAGGGGUAACGGCCCACCAAGGCGAUGAUCAGUAGCCGGUCUGAGAGGAUGAACGGCCACAUUGGGACUGAGACACGGCCCAGACUCCUACGGGAGGCAGCAGUGGGGAAUCUUCCGCAAUGGACGAAAGUCUGACGGAGCAACGCCGCGUGAGCGAUGACGGCCUUCGGGUUGUAAAGCUCUGUUAAUCGGGACGAAAGGCCUUCUUGCGAAUAGAGAGAAGGAUUGACGGUACCGGAAUAGAAAGCCACGGCUAACUACGUG
rnacentral:rRNA from 1 species